rnacentral:rRNA from 1 species
GAUGAACGCUGGCGGCGUGCCUAACACAUGCAAGUCGAACGAGAAGCUAACUUCUGAUUCCUUCGGGGAGAUGAAGUUGGUAGAAAGUGGCGAACGGGUGAGUAACGCGUGGGUAAUCUACCCUGUUAGUGGGGGAUAACCCUCCGAAAGGAGGGCUAAUACCGCAUAAGGUCUUCACUUCUUAAGAAGUAAAGAUUAAAGAUGGCCUCUAUACUAUGCUAUCGCUUCAGGAUGAGCCCGCGUCCUAUUAGUUAGUUGGUGGGGUAAUGGCCUACCAAGACCACAAUGGGUAGCCGGUCUGAGAGGAUGUACGGCCGCACUGGGACUGAGAUACGGCCCAGACUCCUACGGGAGGCAGCAGUGGGGAAUAUUGCGCAAUGGGGGAAACCCUGACGCAGCGACGCCGCGUGGAUGAUGAAGGCCUUUGGGUUGUAAAAUCCUGUUCUGGGGGAAGAAACCUUAAGGGUCCAAUAAACCC